UACAGAGGGGGCAAGCGUUGUUCGGAAUUACUGGGCGUAAAGGGCGCGUAUGCGGCCUGCUAAGUCGAACGUGAAAUCCCCGGGCUCAACCCGGGAACUGCGUCCGAUACUGGCUGGCUUGAAUCCGGGAGAGGGAUGCGGAAUUCCAGGUGUAGCGGUGAAAUGCGUAGAUAUCUGGAGGAACACCGGUGGCGAAGGCGGCAUCCUGGACCGGUAUUGACGCUGAGGCGCGAAAGCUAGGGGAGCAAACGGG
rnacentral:rRNA from 1 species